GUGUCAGCCGCCGCGGUAACACGGGGGGAGCAAGCGUUGUUCGGAAUCACUGGGCGUAAAGGGCGUGUAGGCGGUCAGGUAAGUGGGGUGUGAAAGCCCCCGGCUCACCCGGGGAUCUGCAUUCCAAACUGCCUGGCUUGAGUACGGGAGAGGAUGAGGGAAUUCCUGGUGUAGCGGUGAAAUGCGUAGAUAUCAGGAGGAACACCGGUGGCGAAGGCGCUCAUCUGGCCCGAUACUGACGCUGAGGCGCGAAAGCUAGGGGAGCAAACGGGAUUAGAUACCCUUGUAGUCC
rnacentral:rRNA from 1 species